rnacentral:rRNA from 1 species
AGUGAACGCUGGCGGUAGGCCUAACACAUGCAAGUCGAACGGCAGCACAGUAAGAGCUUGCUCUUACGGGUGGCGAGUGGCGGACGGGUGAGGAAUACAUCGGAAUCUACUUUUUCGUGGGGGAUAACGUAGGGAAACUUACGCUAAUACCGCAUACGACCUACGGGUGAAAGCAGGGGAUCUUCGGACCUUGCGCGAUUGAAUGAGCCGAUGUCGGAUUAGCUAGUUGGCGGGGUAAAGGCCCACCAAGGCGACGAUCCGUAGCUGGUCUGAGAGGAUGAUCAGCCACACUGGAACUGAGACACGGUCCCGACUCCUACGGGAGGCAGCAGUGGGGAAUAUCGGACAAUGGGCGCAAGCCUGAUCCAGCCAUACCGCGUGGGUGAAGAAGGCCUUCGGGUUGUAAAGCCCUUUUGUUGGGAAAGAAAAGCAGCAGGUUAAUACCCCGCUGUUCUGACGGUACCCAAAGAAUAAGCACCGGCUAACUUCGUG